AUUCUGAGAAAUGAAUGAAAUCUUGCCAUUUGCAAACACAUGGUAGGAGCUAGAGAGUAUCGUGCUAAGCAAGAUAAUACGGUCAGAGAAAGACAAA